ACUAGCUAGCCAUUUCACAUCGGUUAUACUCACCCCCUUUCGACCUCCUCCUUUUCCUCAGCAACCAGUGAUCUGGGUCAACAGCAUCAAUGUAACAGUUUAACUUUAGUCCGUCCCCUCGCCCCGGGUGCGAACCAGGGACCCUCUACACACAUCAACAACAGUCACCCACGAAGCAUCGUUACCCAUCGCUCCACAAAAGCCGCGGCCCUUGCAGGGCAAGGGGAACCACUACUUCAAGGUCUCAAAGUGAGUGACGUCACCGAUUGAAACGCUAUUAGCACGCACCACCGCUAACAAGCUAGCCAUUUCACAUCGGUUACACUAGUGCACGAUGAGACAAGGAUAUCCCUGCCGGCCAAACCCUCGCUAACCCGGACGACACGGGGUCCAUUGUGCGCCGCCCCAUGGGCCUCCUCGUCGCAGCCUGCUGAGACAGAGCCUGGACUUGAACCCAGAAUCUCUAGUGGCACAGCUAACAAUGCGAUGCAGUGCCUUAGACCACUUCGCCACUCGGGAGUCCCCAAUUCAAUAAUAUUUUUAACAUAUUUUUUGCAAUUACAAGUGGUUCCUGCCAGUUAGGCCUGGUUAGGCCCAACCUAAUCUCGAAAACCCAGAACAAAAUCUUGCAUGAACAUAACUCUCAAAACGCCUGUGCUCCCGACAGAGGUAACAUGUUUGUUACAGAUCGUAGGACAGAAUAGGCCCACCCAGAUCAGUCUUAUCUACAACUACAAUUGGAGCACAUUACAAACCUAUGACAGCUAUAGUUAUGAUAGUGUAUAUGAAAAUUAUGCACCAUCACAAAAGGGAGCUUUAAUUUCACCAUAAAAGUAGAGAGGAGAGACACAAAAUACAGUGUGUCACUCUCACACUCACUACUGUGGCAUUGCCUGAGUCAUUAUCUACAGCCAACAGCUCCUGUGUAUAUUUCUAAAAACAUUUUUGAGGACAUGUGAAAACAGUUGACCCCGAAAGCAAAUCUUAUUUCCAUAUAUCCUGUUUCACUUCUCUCUCUGCAUUAUAAUAAUAACAGGUGGCAGGUUUGGGACGUUCAAAGAACUCUUAACCAUGAUCCAAUGAAUGUGCUGCUGGUGCCUUAUGUAAGAUGUAUUUUUCACACGCUGCGCCUUGGUCCUCUCUCUCACCGCAAGACGAUCGUGACAUGCAGGGGACAAGGAGAAUCAGACAAACACUUGGAUUACCCAGAAGAAGCACCAGAUCUCAGUAAGCCUGAAGUUUGUGACCCUGACUGAAGUGGUUGAGCUGAGCUGCAAGUCCUCUGCCCUUGUAGAGGGUCAGCAGUGUUUGUUCUAUGUGGAUUCUAAACUCAAGGAGCUUGGUCGCGCAAAUGCCAGCCACAAACAGUACUCCCUCCCAGUAAUGCGGUCAGAGCUGCUUGAGUGAAAGCCCAGAGGGCUGUGGUCAAAGGUCACCGUCCAGUGUCAUUACGAAGAGGAGGAGGGCUUCCACUCACCUCCCAGCAAAAAUGUCACAGUGGUGGUGUGGAACACAAACAUGCUGACUAAGUACAUCAUCGGAUGUAUGGCCCUGAUAGGAUUCAUAAUUAUACUUGCAGUAUUCAUAUUCUGCAUCACCUGUCUCCUCUCACUGAAAGCAAAGAGUAUGUGAACCUGGUAUCUAACAGCCUUAUAAAAGUAUUAGCAAACCGAUCAGACAGAAUCACUCAUGUAUUCCAUUGUUUUACUGUCAUAGGGAACGGACGCCUCGUCAUAACAAGAUUGCCCAGUGUCCAGACAUUGCAAGGAGACCCUACCCUAACAACAAGUGACACAAAUCUUGCAGAAUCUCCACAGGUGUCACGACCUCCGCCGAAGUCGGUUCCUCUCCUUGAUCAGGCGGCGCCCUCUGUUCCCCCCAUGUCUUUGUAUGGAAUUGUUUAUUGAAGGUGAAGAUGAUUUGUGCUAUGCCCCCGUGUCCCAUGCUGGUGCUCCUCCAUCCUACUCAGUCAUGUUUGAGCAAGGCCAUGACUAUGCCACAGUGGUCAUAUACUGACCAGCAUGUGCCGACCUGAAUGGACAUGAAAGGACUUCCACAUGGAUAGAUUGUUUGACUUCAACACCCCCAUUUCAAUCUAUUUGCAUUGUAGUUUUGA